rnacentral:lncRNA from 12 species
UCUGGUUUCCCUGGGAGCCCUAGGUCUUGCUGUGAAAUAGACUGAAUAAAUAUUGCUUCGAGGAGGAAAGUGCCAAAUUAUCCUGCAGAAUGUUCGAAGACCUGAUUUGACCCCGAAGUCUACACUGAGAAGA